UCGCAAUGCCUCCUCCCGUCGUGCGGCGCCGCGGGUCUGCCCCUCCGGCGCCGGACCCUCCUCCGGCGGGUCGUCCUCCUCCUCCGGCGCGUCGACGAAAGAUUAUACCCGGUACUUUCGGGGAGCUAGCCGCCAGUAUAGGCGAUGACUUUGCGAAACAAUGGGGUGCUCUUGGUGCUGCUAGAGACGCCAUCCGGCUUCGCGGUUUUCAAUUUCUGUGGGAUCUACCUCUACUUACCAGAUGCAAUACAAAGUAUGUGGGUAAAAUUUGCUAACUAUUAUAGGGCAAGGCGGAGUUUUGAUCAACGAGGGCUUGAAAAGGGGGUACAUAUUUACAAUGGAGAUGCACCUACUGAAUAGAAUGUGUUAAGUUCUCCUAAUCAAAACAUCGCAUGCUUUUUAAUUAAUUGUUUCUCCUUGCCCCUGAACCUGCUUAUCUUUGGUUGCCUCUUUUAUCAGGUUGUUUGGCUGAAGGAAUUUCAAACUUUUGAUGACAAGUCCAGAGCCAUUAAUGCUGAUACUGGUGUUAACAAACAGCUCACUCAGAUGAUCUUGAAGUGGCGCCGCCCUGGGCAGGAACUACUUGUUGGAAAACCGGAAUAUAAAUCAGUAAUUGAAGCAAGCUUGGGAAUACCCUGCCGGCAUGAUGAACUUGUAAUGGAGGUAAUGUGGGGCAUGAAGCGUUUCAUGCCUAGUUUGGUGCGCAGAGAAAAAUCAGAGCUUCCUAAAGAAGAUCUGCUCCCAGUGAUGGUCAACGACCAGAUUGUUGCGACUGCAUCCGUCUUGUUUGAUUGUGAUGCUGCUGAGAAGAAACAGUACAGAGACUUCCAUGCUCUUGGUCGCCACCUUAAGAAUGUGUCUGGCAUUGAGUAUGAGAACUGGGACCUUCUGAAACUUGCGACAGCUUUUAAAAUCAUUACAAGUUUUACAGUAGUUGGCAUUUUU